rnacentral:lncRNA from 1 species
AUGGAAGACCGAGACUAUGACAGAAGAGAGAGAGGCAGGGACAGAGAAACCACCAAAGAUCGAGAUAGGGAUAGGGGCAGGGACAGAGACCAUGACAGAGAUAGAGAACGUGACAGAGACAGGGAUAGGUUUAAAGAAAAAGAUAGGAACAGAGAAAGAGAUCGCGACAGAGAUAGGUACAAAGAAGACCGUAAAAGAAGUAGUGAGGACAGGAGGGGAGAAGAGAGAAAAAGGGAAGAAUCUAGUCACUACAAUGAAUCAAAAAGAAAGCAAGAGGAGUACGAAGAAAGAAGCAGCUCCAUCAACAAGCGCAUUCCUCCUGAAAAGAAUAGCAGAAGAAAUUCAAUUGAUGUAAGUAACAAGAUAGAUGAGCUUGAUACAGAGAUCAAGAAAGAUUCCAAGAAUUCCUAUGAUAAACAUAGUAGAAAAGAGUCCAGUCAAGAUGAAAGGAUUGACUAUCAGGACUCGUACGACGACAAAGAUUCUAGAGAUAGAAAAAGUAGCCCAAAAAGGAGCUCUGAGAAAGAAGAUAAGGAAAGAAAAUCUAAAAGUUACAAGCUCUCAGAGGAAAAACAGUUGCUUUCAAGCAGAUCUCCAACUAACAAUGAGCAUGUAGUGAUGGAAUCGAACCACAUUUCAUCACCAGUUAGCAUCCAUUCACAACGAAGCAGCAGCUCUAAAAACACUGUUGUCAGGGCUGAAAUGACUACAAAAAAAAGUAAGAAACGGAAACUUAGCUCGUCCAGCUCUGCAAGCAGUAGCUCAGGCAGUAGCUCCAGCGACUCCGAUUCUAAUUCUAGCUCCAGUUCAUCAGUUGACAUGACAGUGGCCAAAAAAUAUUACAACCACAAAGGAAAACUAGUUCGUAAAGUUAUUACCAAAAAACAAAAGAACAAAGAUUCCAAGCGGAAGAAACGUAAAAAUGACAAAAUAGUAGUCAUUAAAAAAAUUAAGAAGAAACCGUCAAGCUCUGAUGACGAUUCAGAAUCAUCGAGUGACAAAAGUUCCCAUGAGCGGCAUAAACGUCGUAAAUCAAAAUCGAGUAAAAAGAAGAGUAAGAGGAAACACUCAGAAUCGGAUAGCGAUAGCACUGAUUCCACUGGUAGUUCUCGAAAAAAGAAGAAAAAGGCCAGAAGGAAAUCAAAAAGAACUUCAAGCAGUGAUUGA